rnacentral:rRNA from 1 species
UACGAAGGGGGCAAGCGUUGCUCGGAUUUAUUGGGCGUAAAGGGUGUGUAGGCGGUUUUGUAAGUUAGAUGUGAAAUCCCGAGGCUUAACCUCGGAACUGCAUUUAAGACUGCAGAACUUGAAGUUCGAAGAGGUAAGCAGAAUUCCCAGUGUAGAGGUGAAAUUCGUAGAUAUUGGGAAGAACACCAGUGGCGAAGGCGACUCACUGGACAUGUAUUGACGCUGAGGUGCGAAAGCGUGGGGAGCAAACAGG